rnacentral:tRNA from 1 species
GGGCGCUUAGUUCAUCGGUUAGAACGUCCGCUUCACACGCGGAAGCUGAGAGGUUCGACUCCUCUAGCGCCCA